rnacentral:rRNA from 1 species
AGCAGCCGCGGUAAUUCCAGCUCCAAUAGCGUAUAUUAAAGUUGUUGCAGUUAAAAAGCUCGUAGUUGAAUUUCGGGAUCAAUGUUUCGGUCAUGCCGUUGGUAUGUACUGAUACUAUUGAUUUCUCACCUUCUAAAGAACCGUAAUGCCAUUAAUUUGGUGUCACGGGGAAUUAGGACUGUUACCUUGAAAAAAUUAGAGUGUUUAAAGCAGGCUCACGCUUGAAUACAUUAGCAUGGAAUAAUGAAAUAGGACAUCCGAUUCUAUUUUGUUGGUUUCUAGGAUCGAUGUAAUGAUUAAUAGGGAUAGUUGGGGGCAUUAGUAUUCAAUUGUCAGAGGUGAAAUUCUUGGAUUUAUUGAAGACUAACUACUGCGAAAGCAUUUUGCCAAGGAUGUUUUCAUUAAUCAAGAACGAAAGUUAGGGGAUCGAAGACGAUCAGAUACCGUCGUAGUCUUAACCAUAAACUAUGCCGACUAGGGAUCGGAUGAUGUUAAUUUUUUAAUGACUCA